AUUUUAUUUAUAUUUUAUUUUUAACGUACACUUAAAUAGCCACAUGUAGCUAGUGGCUACCAUACUGGACAGCACAGGCAGAUCUUAAACUUUUAUGAGAAUUUGACAGUUAUAGACUCCAUCUUAGAAAAAUAUCCACACACUCUAUCAUAGGUGGGCCCCUCCAGUCCCAUUUGUGUAUCCCAGGCAAGCAGAGCCAACUGCCUGGGGCUCAGGUUCCUCAUCUACUCUGCCCCUCUUUCUGCCUUUGCCUGGAAGUAGAAUGACUGGGAUGACUCCAGGAACAAGCAGACCACAGUUUUAUACCAAGAUUUCUGUCCCCAGCCUGAUGCACUCCCCACACAUCUUUUUUUUUUUUAAUUUAAUUUUUUAUUUUUUAAAAUUUACAUCCAAAUUAGUUAGCAUAUAGAGCAACAAUGAUUUCAGGAGUAGAUUCCUUAGUGCCCCUUACCCAUUUAGCCCAUCCCCCCUCCCACAACCCCUCCAGUAACCCUCAGUUUGUUCUCCAUAUUUAUGAGUCUUUUCUGUUUUGUCCCCCUCCCUAUUUUUAUAUUAUUUUUGUUUCCCUUCCCUUAGGUUCAUCUGUUUUGUCUCUUAAAGUCCUCAUAUGAGUGAAGUCAUAUGAUUUUUGUCUUUCUCUGACUGACUAAUUUCACUUAGCAUAAUACCCUCCAGUUCUAUCCAUGUAGUUGCAAAAGGCAAGAUUUCAGUCUUUUUGAUUGCCGAGUCAUACUCCAUUGUGUAUAUAUACCACAUCUUCUUUAUCCAUUCAUCCAUCGAUGGACAUUUGGGCUCUUUCCAUACUUUGGCUAUUGUUGAUAGUGCUGCUAUAAACACGGGGGUGCAUGUGUCCCUUUGAAACAGCACACCUGUAUCCCUUGGAUAAAUACCUAGUAGAGCAACUGCUGGGUUGUAGGGUAGUUCUAUUUUUAGUAUUUUGAGGAACUUCCUUACUGUUUUCCUGAGUGGCUGCACCAGCUUGCAUUCCCAUCCCCACACAUCUAAAGAAAGGCAAGGUGGUGGAUGAAGGCUAGGGUACAGGGGUGACAUGAGGGACAUUCAGUCUUUUUUCUCAGUCUUGACCUGACUUCCUCCUGUCCUGCUUCCCAGCAAGCCACCCGAAUGCCACUGGGCUGGUUCCUCUUGGGACACAGAGCUCCAAUGGAAUGUGAGGCUGUACUCUGGAGAUGGGAUUGUGUCAUGGGCCUGCAGUGUUUAUAAAUUGGAGGAUUUGAAGUAGUCAGAGGGUGAAGACCUAGGCCAAGAGGGGGUGCCCCUUGGCCCCAGUCUAGCCCCUCUUGGUCUCCUUGCACUAGAAAAGGGAGUGAUUAUUGUGUGCUGUUCUGGACCUUCUACCUGAACUUCUACCUUCUACCUGUUUCUGCCUCCUCCUGGCCCCAGCACGAGCACUCACUCCUGAUUUUUUACUGUUUUUCCAGAUCAGCUGAGAGUCAGACACUGCCCCCAUUCAGGAAUAUGGAGGUCUGAGGGGGCUCAGAGAAACUCACUCCCAGCCCUGCAUGGAUGCGUGUGUCCACUCAGUGCAGGGAGGGAAUAUUGUUCUCCCUUGUCCCUUGUCCUGCUGGAUCCAGCCACUCCUCCUCAGAAAACUCCCUACAUAGAUCCAUUUACAGGGGACCACCUUCACUAGGACUUGACUUUCUACCCUCUGCCCUCCUCUCCCUCCUUGCUGCUCUUGCCCACCCUCUCCUCCCUUAUCUCUCAGAUGUCCACCCCUUUGCCCCCCAUCUGGAAAAAAAUAGUUGGUCAGUUCCUGCCCCCCAUAGAGUCUCUAUUUCUUUGGUUUCAGCAGCUGUGCUGGACUGGUCAGACUCAGGCUCUGGGACUGACCCUGGUGUGGGACACAUAGAGGGAGACAAAUCUCCGAACCCCCUUGUCUUAGGCCCUCUAGAAGCAGAGCUUGUGGCCAGGAUUCAGGUGAAAGCCCAGGGGGCUAAGGAUGAGGAAGAGGGAAAUAUGUGCACAGAAGACACAAAGCAAGGUGGUGCAAUGCCUUACUGUCUUGACUUGCUUCACAUGGGCCACAGAAAGACACUGCAGUUUGCUUGGCCAGAGUGUGUGCACUCAGCAUGCGGUGGGACUCCUCUAGAAGGCUGUAAGGAGGAAGCACACCUUGCAGUAGCCCAUAGCUUCUACCCACAACCUAUCCCCAUGGGGCAAGGUUCACAGCAAGCUUCUGGGUUCUGUCAACCAACCCUUGGUGGCAUUCAGAAACCACUAUGAAGUAUGGCCUUUCGUCUAAGCCUGAAGGUGGGGGGCAAUGUCAGAGAGAGUAGGGAGGUAGUCAAGUCAUUCGAGAAGAAAGGUUUCCAUCUCAAUAUGGUCCAGCCCUCGUGCCACUGAGAUCCAUUCACGCCCUUGCAUUAUAUCUGACUUCCCUACUACAACAUGGGGCCUCCGGUUUUGUCCAAGAGAACAAAGCUGUCAUUACUUUUUCUGCAGAAACGGAGGUACAGUCCACUGUAAACAAAACCCCUUCAAGGUAAUGCUAGCUGUGAUCCCAAGGAAGAUAAGGACAGGAGGGUUAAUGAAGCAAGCCUUAGUCCCCACUACUGUAGCUGGUCCUGAUUCCGUAACUGAUCUUGUCUCCCUCCUUCUCUUAUCCUCAGUUAACCCUCUGCAGAUCUAAACUACUUGCCAGAUGAGAUUUUAUGGGCUUUCGUCCCUGGGAGCACUGAUCCCUUGGUUGCCUUCCCUUUGGGGAUUGUCACUGUUGAAGUUGUCCAUCGUCAAUUACAACUGGGUGGGAGUUUCUAAGAGAUGUCCAGUGAAACUCCUGGCAGGGUUCAGACACAGCCUUCCCUGCCCUUAUUGCAUCGAUAUGUAUUCUAUCUACUGCUCUUAUUCCUCCUGGCAAUCAGGAUCAAUGGCUUGACCAAUCCAGCAAUGAAUGUCCUUUUUUGCUAUUGGUCCCCUGGCAUGAAGAGCAGUCACAGCUUCCAGUUUAGUACGAAUGUUACUCUGUUCCCUGGUACAUACAGUUGCCACUGCAUGGGAACUAGGACCCUUAACAAGCAGAGCCUAAAGUUUUGGGAACAAGAAGCAAAAACUGUGCAGAUCUGAGAGUGAGAUGGGCCACUUGCACUUCCACAUUGAUUAUGGGACCUGUAAUUUCCAGGUAUAGGGGACAAAGUGCUAUCAAACAAAUACCAUGUCCAGAAGUUCUGGGCCCAAACUCACACGUGUCAUGUUUCUGCCAGCAAUUUCUGAGCAUUGCACAGGCUGCUCCACUGUUCUGCUAGGCCCACUGCUUCUGGGUGAUGAGGUACAACUUAGUAAGACCAAUGUAUCUGUUGAAUUUACCACGAUUUCAUUACCUCAUAGCAUAUGCAAAAAUUAAUGCAAAAUGGAUCAAAAUCUAAAUGUAAGAGCUGAUGAUGUUUAAGUCUUAGGUGACCUCAUUAUUGUACCUUCCUUGUAGAAGCACUGUGGACAAGGAAGACAAACUCAAACCCCAAGCACACACUCGUUCUAGUAAGGACAAAUAACUGUCCCCUCCAGGGUGGAAGGAAGGGAUUCAGUGCAAGCCAUGUGCCACCAGGGACUAGGCUGGUCUGCUGAGGAAGAGAACCACACCAGGUGUCCAGCAUGGGGCUUGUAGGCAGGUUGAGCCCUCAGAGUGGUAGGAUGAGCUCAGCCUUAGUGAGGGGAGCCCAUGCUGUUGGGCCCAUACAUGACCCCCAUUCCUGGCACCAUGACCAUUCUAAUCAAAAGCUAUUGUGCAGACAUUUGAGGUGGACAGGAAAAGAUUCACUCACCUCAUGAAUCAUUGUGUCUGCUGUGUUGACAGCAACCUGGCAUUUCUGUCUCCUUUCCUAUCUCAUUCCUAUUCUCCUGCUCUGCAGGGUGUUUGAGACCCAGAAGUUUGCACGCUUGGUGCCCACUUCCAAAAGUCUGUCCAUCUGUCUUUCCAUAGCCCUCUUUCUCAGUGAUCUUGGUUUUGUUCUUUCUAGGCUCCUGACCAAUGAGCCAAGUGAUUCACAACUUCCCAGGAGUCAGGGAAUAUCCACAUCUCAGACCACGUCUUCUUCUACAUGAAGCUGACAACCAAAUGUACUGCUCAGAGUUUUUUGCGCACUGGAUAGUACUUCCCCUGACCACUGUCUUUUGGUGUCACCCCUCAGAGGGCCAUAAUAUGACAUCAGUCCACCUCAGACUCUCACCACCAUAUCACACUGACCAUCUGUGGGUCCCUUCCUUGUCAUUGGGUGAUCACAGGAACUCUGAGAAGCCACACAAGCUUUAUGGCCCAAUAUCCCCCUCCACCCCUAUCUGCCUGUGACUUCCUCUCUAUUCCUGACUAUUGGGAAGUGGUCCCUCACCCCUCUGGCCUCCAAUUUCACUUCACACCCUUGUUGAACCAGGCCAGCAGGGAGAUGGGGUGCUACUUCCUCCUGGGCCUUGGGGGUAGGGUGCUGCCUUCCCAAUACCUUAGCAUCCUCACAGCAGUAACAAUAUGGUAACAACAUCAACAAUAGCUCCUGCGCAUGAGGUGCUCCUCGUGUGCCCCACAAUGUGCUAAUAGUCAGGGCCAAGACUAGAGCAAAAAGAACAAGGAGCUUAGGACACAAAUUUUAAGAAGAUCUCAGUGUCAUACAAGUCCCAAAUCCUUUAAAUUUUGGGUUCCAGGCACUUGAUUUUGUCUAGUCUUGACCCUACUAAUAAACUCGUGGCAUAGAUUGUCUUCUUUCAUUCUCAUAAGUAAAUACUAUUGCCCCCAUUUUACAGAUGAGGUAACUGACUAGGAGGUUCAUUUGACAAAGUCACUCUGUUGGCAACUGGCACAGCCAUGUUUUUCUGACUUUAAGGCCUAAGCUCUUAGCCUCUCAGCUGUAUUAGCCCAUCUUAACCUGGCCUGAGCCCUGCGGGAAGCUCCCUGAGGGUGAUCCUCCAGAAGAAUCGAAAUCCCACUCAGACGUGGGCCACGGGACCAGGUUGCACUGAUGCAGGAAGGCUGCAUCCGAGGACCUAGGGGAGAGUCCAACAGGAUCAGUCAAGAAGAUCUUUGGCUUCACGCAGGAUAGAAGUCAAACAUGAGCCAGAGAAAGUGAAAACAGAGUUUGCUGAAUAGCAUGAGUGAAGAAAAUAGCGGAGUGUCUAGGAGGCUUGGGAAGGAGAUAGGAAUGAGUUUUGUCGUUGCUUGGGGCCAUAGGGGGUUAUACUGAAAAAAAGAUCUAGGGUAUGUGUUUCUUCAGGAGUCCAUGGUAGGGUCCAAUCAAAGGCGGGUGUCAGGUGAACAAUAGGUGUUAUUUCAUAAGUUACUGAAGAAGGUAGGGGUAUUGAUGCCAGCAUCAUCUGAGGUUUGUUUGAAGGUAAUGUCCUGGAACAUGUUUGGGAUCUGGCUUUUCUUAGAUGUUAUUAGGUGUUUGGGGCCUAGGACAAAACUCAGAGAAAGAUGAACUUUCUUGCUCCCCCCCCCCCCUUGAAGUGGGAACAUAGCUUCUUCCGCUUAUUCACAGGCAAAAUAUGAAACAUGAGUAAAUGGGGCCUAGCGGAAAAACAGCAGAGAUGCAACCUUUCUGCCAUGGAGUGCCUUCAGCUUCCCUACUUCAGUACCACGCCUUUUCUCAGCGCUGGCAAAGCAGAAACACGUUUUGUGCAGGCAACCAGAGGAGGGGGCUGCGCCAGAAUGGGCAGGAAGGGGGCGCUUUCCCGAGCAUGUCCACUAGAUGGCUCCCCAACACCGAGUCACUGAGCUCGGGUGACCGAGUGGGCGGCCCCCCAGUGGAGAGACGCAGAGCAAGGCCAUCCCCUCUCCUCUGGCCAGCCUUCCCAGGACCCGGGGUUGACGGUCCCGACCCAGAUAUGAGCCUCGGCCGUCCUCCCGAGCUCUGCCCACCGACCCAGGUUUCAAAUCCUCCUCUGCUCUCCCCACCCUCCGAAUCCUCCAGGGGAUGAUGGACUCAGGGCGCGGAGGCUUCCCGGGGCACGCGGGAGAGUAUCUUCUCAAUUUCCUCUACGAAUUGAGCCGUGCCCAGCGCCUCCCAGUGCCUCCACAGCACUGCCUCUUGCCUCCGUUCCCUUCCUGAAUUCCCCAGGCCCUCCCUGUCACUCCCACCCUCUCAGCUUCUGCCAGUCUUCUGAGGCAGGGACCAUUAAGGCCGUUUCCACAGAUUUGGUGAUGCAAAUACAUGCAAAUAUAUGCAAAUCGCCAUGUAAAGGAGGCUUGCCACUGUGGUUCUAAGUGGCUGUCACAGCUUCUCUGACACCUGUUCUGAGAGACAGCUGCCCUGCCCCCCUCCUGCUCAGGAAUCUAUCUGAUAUUUACCCCCCUUUCUCUUCCAAAACUCUGGCUUCUGGUCCCCUUUCCUUCAGGGACCCUGGCUGGACACUUGGAGUCUUCUCUCCAAACUCUCUAGAGAGGGCAGGGAGGGAACCACAUCUUAUUGUGCACAGACUUUGGCCUCUGAAAAUUACACCAUUUCCUGGCUGUGUGGCCUUGGAAAAACAGCUGAACUUCUCUGAGCCUCAGUUUCAUCAGCAGCAGAAUGGGAAUAAUGAUAGUAUUCACCUCAUAAGGUUGUUGUAAAGAUUCCACUCAAUACUACAUGUAAAGUGCUAAGCACAGUACCUUUGAAGAACAUAGGAAGUGCAUUGGCUAUUAACAAUGUGAUUAUCAUUGACCUUGCUGGUCAUCGUAUUCUGAGGGCUUGGGCUUUAAGACAGGUAUGCAGAUGGGCAGAGUUCUGGCAUGCGCACAUGGGGACUCAUCCUUGUGCAUGCAUGUGCAUACACGCGUGCACAGCUGACAGCCUCACGCACUGGCAGGGCACAUGCUCGGGUACACACACAUUCAGAAACACACACAGGAGGAGGCUGUGGGAGGUGGAAUCUGAGUCAUCGAGACCAGAGCUGUGGGUGGUGCUUUUGUCCUGAUUUCCGGGGCUCCACGCUCCAUUUCAAACAAGAAAAUGUAUGGGGGAUGGCACAGCCAAGCCUCCAACUGAAGCUAGUUGUGUGGGCCCUUUCUUGCAUCAGCCCCCUCCCCAGCUGGUCCCAACCCAGCUCUGUGUCAUCUAGGCUUCUCUUUUCUCUGACCUUAAUGCUACUAAGUCCCCACAGGUGGGGCUGGGCAGGCACACUGGGUCCUUGACGUCAUAGCACAAGCCCUGGAUGACAUCAUAGAGCAGGUGCUGCCUGCUCCCUGGAGCAUGCCCUAGGAGCUUGGCCCCAGCAGAGGUUCCUGGCCCAUGGAUCAUCUACCACAUUCCUGGUAAUGGUCCAGUCAACUGUGGCUAUGGAGAGGGGUCCCCUACUACUGUCCCUUUGGUUGCCUUGAUGGACAUAAGGAUAGUGUGAUUCACAUGUCUUCAGAGCCCUCUGUCUGCUUGCUGUAGUGGGGAGACAGAGGAGGGUCUGAGUGUCCUUCCUGCACUAUCUUGUAAUCACCAGGAAUGAAUUCUGAGCUCACGUUCUGGACCGCUGCCAGGAAGAAGGAAGCAGCGUUAGUAUAAAGAAUCACACAAAAGGCCGCAGUAUGCCUUGGAGAUGUUGGCCAGGAGUGACCAACAAAGUGACUCCUCAAAGCUACCAAGAAGCAAGCCUGCCCCCAGACCUGGUGGUUCAGGACCAUGGAGAGCAUCCUACAUAGUGUCCUGGAGAGGAGACUUACUGCUAUCAUCCCCAUUUUACAGAAGCUGGAGAAAUCCGGGAAGUCUGGAGCACACAUCCCCUCACCAUCAGGGCAGAAGCUCAGCCUGGUCAGAGAGAAAGGAAAGUUGCUUUGAUGUCCUCUCACCUAGACUAUUCAUUCCCUUGAGAAGCAAGAGGAGUCAAGGAAGAUAGAGUCAUGUGGGAGGACAUAACGUGCUCUUCAAGUCCUGAUGCUGCAUCCCCACUGCUGUGUGAUCUCAAACAAGUCACUUAACCUCUCUGAGCCGUGGUUUCCUCAUCUGUAAAAUGGAGCUAAUAAUACCACCUCUGUUACUGAACAGAAUUUCUAAAAGUCCCAAGCAGAUGUUGUCAGUAUGCAAGGGAAGACAAAAUAUGGGGAGGGAGGGUGAGAACAGGUUGCCCUACCUGGUCACCAUGGCUGCCUGAUGGAGGAAGGAGAUUCAGAGGAUAACAGAGAUUGGAUACGGAGAUUGUGAAACCCAGGAUGGGAAGCAAAAGGGCCCAACUUAGGGAGCCUUGCUGGGAAGGGCCCCUGGAAUUCAUGGACCACGCUUGCUGAGAACCCACUGGAAGAAAUGACACAGUACUGCAGUAUGAAGGACUCAGGUCAGACUGUAGACAGACUUCCAGCCAGUCAGGCAACAACAAGGGCACUCCCUCCUGGGGUCUUUGGCUAUGCCUGAGCAAAAUCUCCCCAGUGGAGAGGCUAAGCCUGACUGCAGGAAGCAAUGCAGAAGGAUGGACAGGGCAACCCCGAAGAUGCUUCUGCAGGGCCAGAGAAGGAGGCCACAGUAGUCUGGCAGAUCCUCCCCGGGGUUCUCUUUCAAGCCUUGUCCUCUGGAGGCCUUUCAGAACCUAUCCUGACCUUGAAGGGAAGUCACUGGGCCUGUUCUGGAGCAGGGGCCAUGUCCUCACAGACAUGCCCAGGUCAGCGUCAGGCCACAACUCUAUUAUUUAAGGAUUCCAUAAAAGAGCAAACCUCCGGGCCUGGAAGAAUGGCCGGGAUCCUGACUCUUCCUGCACAGGAAAUGCAGCGGCUGUGCCGGAGCCCUGGCUUGACCUGCUGAGGACUCAGAGCCCCUACAGAUUCCCAGCCUGAAGGGGCUCCACUGUGGCUGAGAUGAUGACAUCUGGGCCAGACUGGGCUCCUCCCUUCCAGACUGAGCUGAGACCUACCACCAGACCAACUGCUUGUGGACUCUGCAGUGAUUUUAUUGUGAUUUCCUAGUUGUCGCAGUUAGUAGCAUUAGUUUGUUAAUUACUGUAUAUUUUGAAAGUAAGAGAAAAGGGAAUUCCCACCGGAGAUUUGUUCUUGGCCGAAACAAUGUGAUGUGAGGGAAGGGAGAGUUUGCGCAGGGCGGGAAGGGGGGGUAGUAAUGAGCUUGCUCUGCUGGUUUCUGCUCCUCUAGACAGGGCCUGGGGCCAGAGAUGGGGCUGCAUGGAGAGGCAGGGGCCCUGGCAGAGCCAAGCCCCUCCCUCCUCUGCAGCACCACUUCUCAGUCCCCAAACCUCUGCGGCAGCCCCCUGCCACCCCCCCCCCAACCCCUGCACUAUUAUCAGAGUGAGGCAUCAGGCCUAAGGGGUUUGGAGCUGCAGGAAGGGCCCUGAGGCUAAAGGAACCAGACCUGAGUGAAAUAAGACCCUGAGGAAACCGGCCUGUGACAGGGGGCAGUUGAUUGAAUAGGAUGGAGUUUUUCAUUAGGAAAUGAAGCUGGAAUUUGGGGAGAGGCUCUUGCAUUUAAAUUCAGCAAGAGACGGGGCGCCUGGGUGGCUCAGUCGGUUGAGCUUCCGACUUCGGCUCAGGUCACGAUCUCGCGGUCCGUGAGUUCG